rnacentral:misc_RNA from 1 species
AAGUCGUAACAAGGUUUCCGUAGGUGAACCUGCGGAAGGAUCAUCAAAAAAAUGAUUAAUUAAAAGAGUUUGGAGAGUUGUUAAUGUUUUGAUAUUGACAACUUUGGAUUGGGUUGAAUACUUGAUCUGAAUAGUGAACGGGGAUAAUACCCUGUCAGACUAUUAUUUAAUUUCAUAUGACUAUAAUCAUAUUUUCUAUUCUAUUUGAACAGGAUUUAAAUGGAGGUAUAAUAAAUAUAUCUCUUGAUAAAUGAAACAACUUUUGACAAUGGAUCUCUCGGCUCCCC